CCUUACUACUCUGUCUUUUGCA
rnacentral:miRNA from 1 species